UACGGGGGGGGCAAGCGUUGUUCGGAAUUACUGGGCGUAAAGGGUGCGUAGGCGGCGCGGUAAGUCGGGUGUGAAAUUUCGAGGCUUAACUUCGAAACUGCAUUCGAUACUGCCGUGCUUGAGGACUGGAGAGGAGACUGGAAUUUACGGUGUAGCGGUGAAAUGCGUAGAUAUCGUAAGGAAGACCAGUGGCGAAGGCGGGUCUCUGGACAGUUCCUGACGCUGAGGCACGAAGGCCAGGGGAGCAAACGGG
rnacentral:rRNA from 1 species